rnacentral:rRNA from 1 species
GAUGAACGCUGGCGGCGUGCCUAAUACAUGCAAGUCGAGCGAACAGACGAGGAGCUUGCUCCUCUGACGUUAGCGGCGGACGGGUGAGUAACACGUGGAUAACCUACCUAUAAGACUGGGAUAACUUCGGGAAACCGGAGCUAAUACCGGAUAACAUGUUGAACCGCAUGGUUUAACAGUGAAAGACGGACUUGCUGUCACUUAUAGAUGGAUCCGCGCCGCAUUAGCUAGUUGGUAAGGUAACGGCUUACCAAGGCAACGAUGCGUAGCCGACCUGAGAGGGUGCUCGGCCACCCUGGAACGGAGACCCGGUCCGGACUCCUGCGGGAGGCAGCAGUAGGGAAUCUGCCGCCAUGGCCGACAGCCUGACGGAGCAACGCCGCGUGAGUGAAGAAGGUCUUCGGAUCGUACAACUCUGUUAUUAGGGAAGAACAAAUGUGUAAGUAACUAUGCACGUCUUGACGGUACCUAAUCAGAAAGCCACGGCUAACUACGUG